CUCCCGUGGAGAUGUAGCACUGGAUGGUCUUUGACUGUUUCUUCAGCUUUGUCUGCAAAAUUAACAUCCAUUUAAAGGGCAUCAUCGCACCUACUAAAAUUCCAUCCUUAUUGAUCUCAUGAUGCAACGGAGGAG
rnacentral:lncRNA from 1 species